UACGUAGGGUGCGAGCGUUGUCCGGAAUUACUGGGCGUAAAGAGCUCGUAGGUGGUUUGUCGCGUUGUUCGUGAAAACUCACAGCUCAACUGUGGGCGUGCGGGCGAUACGGGGCAGACUGGAGUACUGCAGGGGGAGACUGGAAUUCCUGGUGUAGCGGUGGAAUGCGCAGAUAUCAGGAGGAACACCGGUGGCGAAGGCGGGGUCUCUGGGCAGUAACUGACGCUGGAGGAGCGAAAGCGUGGGGAGCGAACAGG
rnacentral:rRNA from 1 species